GGUCCCAUGGUCCAGUGGUUACGACUUUGGACUUUGAAUCCAAAUACCCGAGUUCGAAUCUCGGUGGGACCU
rfam:Physcomitrella patens subsp. patens PHYPAscaffold_49 genomic scaffold, whole genome shotgun sequence.